rnacentral:rRNA from 1 species
UAAACCCAGAGGCGCAAUGAAAGUGAAARGGGGGGCCUCCCCCCCCCACCAGGGAAGAUGCGCGGGCGGCUCCGUACGCCCCGCCGCAUUCCCGAGGCGUUUCGAGAAAGCCACCGUGCGAUUAUCGAGACGCACCGAGAGCGUACACGCUGGGACCCGAAAGAUGGUGAACUAUGCCUGGUCAGGUCGAAGUCAGGGGAAACCCUGAUGGAGGACCGAAGCGAUUCUGACGUGCAAAUCGAUCGUCGGAACUGGGUAUAGGGGCGAAAGACUAAUCGAACUAUCUAAUAGCUGGUUCCAUCCGAAGU